AUUGGAGUCAGUUCGGUAGACAAAAGUGGCGAGGAACAAUCUGACACUCAGUUUUGAUCGACGCAUAUACCUAUAAAUACUGAAACUCGGAAAACACAGUCCUAAGAGUGACAAUAUCGCUAUAUGAUACUUAUAACCCAUUUCUGUCUACACAUUCCACCCCAUGCUGAAACAUAGCGCAAAUCUCUGGCGAGCCUCCCCUGUAAGCGCGAAGAUGUAUUUCUGUCCUUUAUUCCUUUUAUUUACCGGCCGCAACCUCCAGCGUGGGCUCUCCUCAUGUAUGUUUUGAGACGUUUAGUUUUUGCCCCGCCGAGCCUGUGUAGAAGGCGGCCGGCCUGUGUCUGCAGUGGUAAAAGCGAUAUAAUUCGGUAAGAUGAUUAUUUUUAGGUUAUUUAGGCUGGAUUAGCUCAAUUUAAUAUGUUAUUCAGUUUCUCGGUAUUUUUAUUGUGUUUUGUCGCUUUCGUUUACCUAGUUGAAUGAUCGAAAUCGUUUUGGCACGGCGCCAGGCGAGGAGGCGAAUAGUAAGUCCUCAAGUGCUGUAUGGGACCUGACUGUGUGAUUUUUCGUUUUAGGAACCGUGUGUUGUGUCAACCCGGCAUAAUACAUGAGUACCGAGAUAUCGCAUCUAAGAGGGGCCCGGCGAGUGAGACACCUGCUACGAGCCCACUUUGAGGCAACAAGCGAUCUGCUGCAAAACGCACAGGCGGUCACAGUUCCGAAUUCGCCUGAAGGACGCCACAGACGCUGGAAACCGCAAGUACAGUCUCCAGAUCUGCAACUGUCGUAUCUACUGCUUCACCUCCUCCUGAUGAGGGGAUCUUCAGCCUGCACUUCUGCAGCCUGGCUGUCACCUGCUGCACAGCAACCUGCGUGAGACCUGACCAGUACUUGGCAUCACGCCAACUGCAUCUGAACUGUGGAACCGUGUGUUGUGUCAACCCGGCAUAAUACAUGAGUACCGA
rnacentral:misc_RNA from 1 species